rnacentral:tRNA from 1 species
GGAAAUAGCUCAGUGCUAGAGCGCAUGCUUAGCAUGCAUGAGGUCCUGGGUUCAAUCCCCAGUACCUCCA